GCUUAUCCUGUACUUUUCUGACAUUACAUCCUCAUCUUCUGUGUAAUAAUCAAGCUUAUUCUCUUUUAGAUACUGGAGUUAAGUACCGUGCUAUUUUAACUGUGGUUUGGGCUGGAGAAGAGUCCCUUGGCAUCCUGAGGAAAAUUAUGCUUAGGCG
rnacentral:lncRNA from 1 species